rfam:Streptomyces sp. CB02488 scaffold1, whole genome shotgun sequence.
CCAGACCACUCCCUUACAACGGAUCGUCCGGCACGUUCCUGCCGGUGGAGGAGAAGAUUC